UGUCAUGGUUCGAAAUGAAACUGGUGGA
rnacentral:piRNA from 1 species